rnacentral:lncRNA from 1 species
GUAGUUAAAGCAUCCCCCCAUCAAAACUAGCCACUCUAAGGGCGUUAGACGGUGGAGCCCGAAGACGUCUACCUCGAUCCAAAUCAUACCUUAGGGGAAUGAGCGAAGAUCCCACCCUUGGUCGAGUAUUGUCCUCUAUGACAUAGAGCACUCUACUCAACGUAGUUGGCACCCCCCCAUUCGAAACUAGCCACUCCAAGGGCGUUAGGCGAUGAAGUCCAGAGACUUCUACCUCAAUCCGAGUAUACCUCGGGGGUAG